CAAAUAUCAUUGGUAAGUCAACGACACUUGUCUCUUAGUUGUAAGAAAUUGUAGAACUACAUGUACUUGUAUGUAUUUAUUUGGGAAACGUUGUAUGUGUUUAAUGCAUGUAGUAUCCCACAGUAACUAUGUCAACACUGUGUACUAAUGUUUAUCUUGAUUGUACUACUAUUUUAGUGUCUUUAAACUAUAAUUAUUUAUCUGUUAAAACAUAAAAUGUCUUUAUUAGAAUUCAUUUUGUCAGUGCUGGUUUUACAUUACAUGUAAACAUGCAUAUCAUGGGAAAGUUAAGGAUAUUUUUUCUUGACAAAUUACUGGUACUGGUUAAAUGUUUUGCAUUUAAACAACAUUUCCGUAGAUUCUAAACAAUAUCAUUGACUUAAAAAGAAGCCAGUUAUCAUGUUAAUUUGAUUUAUAACAAAUUAAAAAAACCAAAACUGAU
rnacentral:misc_RNA from 1 species